rnacentral:lncRNA from 1 species
GGAGCAUUUUGGAGCAAAAUUGGGCUAGAAUGGAGUUCAUGCACAUGAGGCACAAGGGAUGGACGAAUUUGAGGAAUUGGUGAAGCUAGGAAGGCGUUUCAAAGUUGAAGAAUUGAAGAUACAAAGUUUCUUAGUUGAAGAAGGAAAUGGCUUGAAUGAAGGAUUCCUAAAUGAAUUGGGAUUCCUAAUCAAUAUAGGAGUCCUAAUUGAAGAUGGAUUCCUAGAUGUAUGAAGUUUCCUACUCAAGCAAGGUUUCCUACAUGAAGAAGAAGAAUUAAAGCUAAAGAAUCAGCUCAAGAUAAGGUAUCUUAUCCAAAACCUCAUCCAUAACCUUAUCUUAGCUUAUCUUAUUCAAAUAAACCUCAUCCUAUCCUAUCUUAUCCUUAUCCUAAACUAUCCACAUUUCAGCCAAUUAGGGGGGUUUCUAACUAGAUUAGGAUGCUUAAAAUGGGAUUUCUAGAAGACCUAACCUUAUCCUACACAAAAGGGCGCCUAGAACCUUUCUAGAAACCCCUAAAAAUCUGCCUUGUAUUAUCCUUCUAGAACCCUAACUUUGUGCCGAAUUUUCUACCUUAUUUCCUUUAGGAUUUUGGUUUCUAGAAGCCUUAUCAUUUCACACUCUUUGUGCUGCAUCUUAUCUCCCAAUCCCAUUGGAUGUUAUUAUCCUAUGCAAUUUAGCCUUUAAAACCUUGUCCUUUGCUACCUAGGAAUGUGAAUUUUCAGCCUAUAUAUACAACCCAUUGCCGCACCUAUUCAUUCACCACCCUCUACCAGAUUUUCACUACACCAUUCACCAUUCAUACCUCUUGUGCCGUGAGUUUGCAAGGAGAAGAAGGAAGAC